rnacentral:lncRNA from 1 species
GAUUCCCCACCUAGAAUGGGAUAUCAAAAAAUCACUUAUUAUGAGCUUCUCCAAGCUACAGAAAAUUUCAGUCAGUCCAACCUAGUAGGAAGUGGAAGUUCCGGUACAGUCUACCGAGGUACAUUUGCUAGCGGUACUGUCUUUGCAAUCAAAGUUUUCAAUAUGCAACGGCAAGGGGGUUUAAGAAAUUUUGAGCAAUGUAAGACACAGGAACUUGGUCAAGAUAGUGUCAACUUGCUCAAAUGUUGGAUUUCACAGCAAUGGUGUUGGAGUACAUGCCUAAUGGAAGCUUAAACAAGAAAUUAUACUCCGAAAAAAAUUGCUUGCACCUGGUUGAAAGACUCAAUAUAAUGAUCGACAUACCACUGGCCAUGGAGUAUCUUCAUCAUGAUUAUACAGUGCCUGUCAUGCACUGUGAUCUGAAGCCAGCUAAUGUGCUUCUUGAUCAGGAUCUUACUGCUCAUGUAGCAGAUGUUGGAAUUGCAAAAAUGCUGGCACAAGAAGGAAACAUUGCUCAAACCAAAACACUCGGAACUAUUGGUUAUAUUGCUCCAGGUAUGGUAAUGUCUUGAACUGCAGGUGUCCUACGCUGGUUUCUUUUUUCCUUUACGUCUACCGUAACGUUGAUUUUCAUACCCUCUGUAGUAAUCGAUUUCUCAUGGGAAAUUCGCAUAGGCAAGAAACUUCUACUUUUAUAACAGUGACAGUGCAACAUUUUGUACUAUAACAUGGGUAACUACACAUUCAAGUACCAAAGAACACAACCUAUUGUUGUAAGAAUAGUAACCAAAUAAGUUCCAAUCAUUUCUUCCUGGCAUAUAUCUAUCACAUUUUAACUAGGAGUUUAUUGCAACAGAAUAUGGCUUAGAUGGACAAGUCUCCACCAGCAGUGAUGUUUAUAGCUUUGGGAUUUUGUUGCUUGAGACAUUCACAAGAAAGAAGACUACCAAUGACAAGUUCAGAGGAAACUUAAGCUUGCAUAAAUGGGUAUGUCUCUCCUUUCCUGAUGCUGUACUGGACAUUUUGGACGCUGACCUUGUUAGUGACAUUGGCUUUAGAAGAGUUACAGUUGAUGAAAACCAAAGCCAAAUCAAACAGUUGCUGGUUUUGAUCAUAAAUGUGGCAUUCCUAUGUUUGAAAGAGUUACCAGAGGAAAGGAUAAACAUGAGAGAGGUUGUGGUGCAGCUAAAGAAGAUAAGAGCCGAAUUAACCAAUCUUGACUCAUAUAGAAUAUGAGAAAGAGGACUGAUACAGCAACAAGAAGAUUCAGUUUUUCGAUUUCCUGCAUAUGCAUAUACUAGCUAUCUGGACUAUUUCCCCACAUUGCUCAUCUUUUUAAGGGCUAUCAUGGAAAUUCUACAUUUGAAAAUUCUUGUUAAAAGUUGCUUUAAGGAAUAAUGCACGCAAUUUAUUUUUGACUUUCUUUUUUUUUUUUUUUUACAUACAACUCAUAGUCAAAUUAGAUUCCUAUUUGUGGUAGGAGAUUGAUUAGUUAUUAUUUUUUGUAGCAAAUAGGUUUUCUUUUAUGGUAAAUUUAAUCUAUUUUUAGUUGUAAUAGCACUAUUUAAGAAGGAGUUGAUGAUCAAUAAAAUACAGAGCUUUACAAAAAAAAAAAACUCUCUGCGUUCUUCUCUAACUCAUGUCUAUUAAAACCAACAAUUGGUAUCUAGAGCCAUUUUUCUUGAGGAACCUGUGAAUGAAGAGAUGGAUUCUGAAAAUAGUUUUUCACGAAUGACUCCAUCCAUUUUUUAUGGUGAAAAUUAUCAAUUAUGAAUUGUGAGAAUGAAAACUUCCUCGGAGGCUUUUGAUAUAUUGGAAGUUGUGGAAGAGGAUUAUGAAAGUAAUUCGCUGCCAAAUAAUUCCACUAUAGCCCAAAUCAAGAGUCACAAAGAAAAGAAAAUCACGAAGUCCAUGGCGAAGGCAACUCUGUUUGUAGUUUACAAGAAUUAUGUCUCUCAUAUCACCAAAAGAAAUUUGGGAUUAUAUGAAGAAAGAAUAUGCUGGAGAUGAAAGAAUUCAAGGAAUGCAAGUACUGAAUUUAAUAAGAGAGUUUGAGUUGCAAAGAAUGAAAGACUCCGAGACAGUCAAAGAGUAUUCGGACAGAUUACUUGGCAUUGUUAACAAGGUAAGAUUACUAGGCACUGAAUUUAAAGAUUCAAGAAUUGUUGAAAAAAUUCUUGUUACAGUGCCCGAAAGGUAUGAAGCAUGUAUAACUACCUUGGAAAAUACACAAGAUUUGUCCAAAAUUACCUUGGCAGAGUUGUUAAAUUCUUUUCGGGAACUGAAACAAAGAAAACUUAUGAGGCUGGUUAUCAUGGUUGAAGGAACCUUAAUAGCCAACCACAAAACUCAAAGAAUGGGUAAAAAUAUAAAAAAAAUCACCCACCUUGUGAGCACUGUGGAAAAAUUGUUCAUCUGAGUCAUCCACCAUAUAGAUGUUGGAAAAGGCCAGACGCGAAGUGCAACAAGUGCAAUCAACUUGGCCAUGAAGCAGUUAUUUGCAAAAGAAAAUUUGAAAACCAUGAAGCAGAUGAACGUGUGGUCAAUGAAGAAGAAGAAGAAAAAAAAGAAGACAAUCUGUUUGUUGUAACAUGUAUCUCAAGUAAGGUUUCAACAAAUUUUUUGUUGAUUGAUAGCGGUUGCACCAACCACAUGACUUAUAACAAGAGUUUGUUUAAAGAAUUAAAGCCUGUUGAAAUAUCCAAAGUUAGGAUCGAAAAUGAUGAUCAGAUUUUUGUUGAUGGAAAAGAAACUGUUGUCUUUAAAACAAGUUCAGGUAAUAAAGCAAUUUCAGAUGUUCUUUAUGCACCUGAUAUUGAUCAAAUCUUGUUGAGUAUUUGUCAGUUGGUAGAAAAGGGAUACAAAGUAUUCUUUGAAGAUAAACAUUACUUCAUCAAUGAUGGUGUUGGAAAAGAAAUUUUAAACAUUAAGAUGAGAGGUAAACAUUUCGAACAUUUCUCAUUUAAUCUAAUGGAAGAUGUUUCUGUAGAACAUGUAAAAGAUCAUAGGAUGAAAAAAUUAGAAGAUAAUCCUCUAAUUGAAAAAGCACAAGCAAUAUGUGAACCUCUUAGGUUUAAAGGAGAUUUCAAUGUUUCUAAAGGAAUUAAGCAAUAAAGAGUAUCUAUGUUUCAGAAAAAUAAAAUGGGUAAAUUCAAAUUCAAGAUGCAAACAAAGAAUGAAGACACGCCAAAAGGAUUUAUUAGUCAAGGGUUGCGUUCAAGACGAGAAGUGAAUUUAGUUCAUUACAGGCCAAAAGAUGAAUCUGCAGAUUUAUUCACAAGGAAACUUUCGGUUAUCAAGUGUGGAGAUCCCAAGACAGAAAAUCAAAAUUUUGCAGUUUCUAAAGCAAGGAGGAGUGUUAAAAGUUGCUUUAAGGAAUAAUGCACCCAAUUUUAUUUUUUUUUAUUUUUAUUUUUUUUUACAUACAACUCCUAGUCAAAUUGGGAUUCUUAUUUGUUGUAGGAUACUGAUUAGUUAUUAUUUUUGGCAGCGAAUAGUUUUCUUUUAUGGUAAAUUUAAUCUAUUUUUAGUUAUAACAAUACUAUUUAAAAAGGAGUUGAUGAUCAAUAAAAUAGAGAACGUUUACAAAAAGAACUCUUUGUAUUCUUCUCUAACUCAUUUCUAUUAAACGAACACUUAUCCUAAGUUCUUAAAGUGAAUAGUUUUCGUGGUGUAUAUUAAUUCACAUCAAAUGUAGUCCUACAAGUCUUUUCUAUAUGAAUCCAUUUAAUAUCCAACUAUCUCAUUCCACUGCCAAAGGAGUGAUUCGUUCGGUUCCUCUUCAUGUUAAGCCAAGUAUUAACCUGUUUCUAACAUUUGUCAAAUUUUCUUAUCGUUCAGUUGAUUAUGCUUCAUUUUGUACUCAAUGACAUCAGCACCUGCACCAAACUUCAUAAAUAUUACACAAUAAGAAGCAAGAACUGAAGUCAUCUCAGGACACGGUUCUCUUAAUCUCCAUCUAUAAUUUUUUUCUCUUACCACUAAAACUCGAGUCUAAUUCUAUGUAAGAAACCUAUUUUACCUGGCGGGGGACCUACAAUUGCAGGAGGUGCACCACUUCCUCUCUAGAAUUGUGGCUAAAAAUAGUUAAGGACUGGACCUAGAAGUAGUUCAAAAUUCCAUCAAUGAAUCUUUUAUUGCGAUAAGACGAUUAGCCAGCAGUGAGAAGGGAUAUUUCGCUUCACGUAUAUUGGUUCUUAGACUUUAUCCUAGACUUGAUAGCUAAGUUAAUGUAGAAGCUGUUAGAACAUGCACAGCGGAAGCAACAUUUCUACGAGAUCAAUAACUUACAUAAUAUCUAGAUAACAUAAUCAAAACGAGAAUCAGAAAACUUACUUUUUAAAGCUUUCACAAAAUUCGCUCAACACUUUAUUUUUUAUGACUGCGAUCUUCUACCAAAAUCGAAUUAACUUUUUUCAAUCAACACUUGAGUGGCAAGUUAUUAUUUUUCAGAAAGCAGGAUGAACUUGAAUCAAAAAUCAACCCCUAUUUAUUUUCAAUUUCUAAUGAAGAAGGGAAGAUAAGGGGCAAAACGUUUUUGCCCUUAUU